rnacentral:rRNA from 1 species
CUUUCAACAACGGAUCUCUUGGUUCUGGCAUCGAUGAAGAACGCAGCGAAAUGCGAUAAGUAGUGUGAAUUGCAGAAUUCAGUGAAUCAUCGAAUCUUUGAAAGCACAUUGCGCCCUUUGGUAUUCCAAAGGGCAUGCCUGUUCGAGCGUCAUUUGUAC